CCUACGGGAGGCAGCAGUAAGGAAUAUUGGGCAAUGGAGGCAACUCUGACCCAGCUACGCCGCGUGCAGGAUGACUGCCUAUGGGUUGUAAACUGCUUUUGUCAGGGAAGCGGUACUUGAAGAAUAAGGAUCGGCUAACUUCGUGCCAGCAGCCGCGGUAAUACGAAGGAUCCAAGCGUUAUCCGGAUUUAUUGGGUUUAAAGGGUGCGUAGGCGGCUUAUUAAGUCAGAGGUGAAAGCCCGGAGCUUAACUCCGGAACUGCCAUUGAUACUGAUGAGCUUGAAUAUAGUUGAGGUGGGCGGAAUGUGUCAUGUAGCGGUGAAAUGCUUAGAUAUGACACAGAACACCAAUUGCGAAGGCAGCUCGCUAACUUUAUUGACGCUGAGGCACUAAAGCGUGGGGAUCAAACAGGAUUAGAUACCCUUGUAGUC
rnacentral:rRNA from 1 species